rnacentral:rRNA from 1 species
UUUCUCCGCCGGCGACCGGCGCACGGGUGAGUAACACGUAUGCAACCUGCCCCUGUCAGGGGGACAACCCGCCGAAAGGCGGGCUAAACCCGCGUACAUGCCACCGGGGCAUCCCGGAGGCAGGAAAAGGCUUCGGCCGGACAGGGAUGGGCAUGCGGCGCAUUAGGCAGUAGGCGGGGUAACGGCCCACCUAACCGACGAUGCGUAGGGGUUCUGAGAGGAAGGUCCCCCACACUGGUACUGAGACACGGACCAGACUCCUACGGGAGGCAGCAG